rnacentral:rRNA from 1 species
GAUGAACGCUGACAGAAUGCUUAACACAUGCAAGUCUUUGGCGAAGCUGUGCUUGCACAGCCUAGCCAAGGCGGACGGGUGAGUAACGCGUAAGGAACUUGCCCUGCAGUCAGGGAUAACAGACGGAAACGACUGAUAAGACCUGGUAAAGUCAGGCGGACUCAUGUCCAGCCUGAUGAAAAGAGAUGCUGCAGGAGAGCCUUGCGUCCUAUUAGCUUGUUGGUGGGGUAACGGCCCACCAAGGCGAUGAUAGGUAGCCGGCCUGAGAGGGUGGACGGCCACAAGGGGACUGAGAUACGGCCCUUACUCCUACGGGAGGCAGCAGUGGGGAAUAUUGGACAAUGGGGGCAACGCUGAUACAGCAAUUCUGUGUGCACGAUGAAGGUUUUCGGAUGGUAAAGGGCUUUCAGCAGGGAAGAAAAAAAUGACGGUACCUGCAGAAGAAGCGACGGCUAAAUACGUG